UAUACCAUAACAAAAAAACAAAAUUUCCUAAGAGUAUUCAGAUACAGAUGAAAAAGAUAUAAGGAGAUAAGUAAUCCAUUCAUUUAGCUGAAAUAUGAAAAAUAAGAGUUUAAAUUUCUACAGACAUUAUAAUGUUGAAACACGCUCUCCUUUUGUUGAUAAACCUGGAAAAUUUGUAAGGCAGUGCAAUACAGGGUACUGGUUAUAUGUAAAAGCUACUUUUAUAAGUGAGGUAGAUACAGAAAAAAGCCAUAAAUCCUGUAAUAUAGAACAUGUCACCAAGAUGACAGGUUGAAUAUCAAGAACUUAGUUGUGAAAAACCCUAUGCUUAUGAAGGUUUGGUCUUGUCUGAAGGUACCAGGAAGGUAUGAGAUUUUAUUCUUAUAAAAAUGAUGUUAGUAAUUAUUAAGUUUUAUAAAAAAAUAUGUAAUCUGAAGGUAGCAAUACUCUGAUAGUGGCUGGACUGUGCCUAAGUAAAAUUAUCACUUCACUGAUUUUCAUGUGAAAAUGCAAAGAAGUCAGAUUCUUCAUGCUACCAAAGGUGGCAUAUGUAUGGGGGAUGGCGGGUGGGUGUGAGUGUGUGUGUGUGUGUGUGUGUGUGUGUGUGUGUAUGUGUGUGUAUGUGUGUGUGUGUGGGUGUGUGUGUGCGUGCGCGCGCGCGUGCAUGUGCUCACACACACAGUCCAAGUGUUUACAGCAGAACUGUUUCUUUAUAUGUAGAACACAGCAUAUAGAGUCUAUGAGCAAUCUAAAAAUAGAAAAGACAAAGUUUUACACGAGCUGUCACUUGUUUCUUUUCAUUAAAUAUCUGAAUCUCCUACUUUUCAGAUGCUUCUUAUUUGGCUAGACAGCUGGAUAGAUUCCAGUAGCUUCUUUCUUUGUAUAUUUAAAAGUUUGUAUUUCACUUUCCUUGUAUAAUAUAUAUCUUUAAUCUGUUUUUACACCACCAUAAUUAAAAAUGGUAAACUGCAUUUGAUGUUGGUCAAAAUGAACUCUAAUGUGCGUACUUACCCAGGACAAUAGUGACAAACAUAAAAGUAUUUCAAUGGUUGGUCAGGGCAUUCAGCAACUCCACAUGCAACCAGGAAAGUUGAAUUCCAAACAACCUAUACACCCAGAGAUGAAUAUGAAGCAUGUGUCAGAGAGGAAAAUAAUGUGAAGAAAAAAUUAUAAAUGUAAAAUUAAACACCUUUUGUUUACUUUGUUUCUAUAUGCCUUCUAGACAUACUUAAAUUAUGUAUCAAUCAGAUUACAAAUGUUAAAAGAGCCUUCAGAGCCUGAUCUUAGUCAGCUACUUCAGCAAAGCUUACAGGAAGCACCUCGGGAGAUUAGGGAGGCUAACAACUGCUUCAAGCCAAUCUCAGAGACUCUGGUGUUCUUUAAAUACAUUUUUGACAGUUUCCAAGAUGAUGAGAAUGCAGAACGCUGUGCUGAGGCCAAUGAUCUUCAGGUCAUAACGAAAGACAUCAAGGAGUCCAUGGAUACCUGGAGGACCCUGGUCUCCAGCAGAAGGUAUGUCCCAGAUUAAAGAUGUGCCUCGAUAUCUGCAUUAAAGGUAUGUGUUGAAACAGAUCAAAAGUGUCUGUCAUCCCACCUCAAGAUCUGCAUCAAAAGCUUGUGUCUUCCAGCUUCAAGCUCCUGAUAAAAGACAUAUUGUCUUCUGGCCUCCAGAUCAAGACAAGAGGUCUUUGUCCAUUUUGGGCUGUAGUUCAUUCCAGAUAUAGUCAAGUUGGCAACCAAGAAUAUCCAUCAUAAUCCACCCCUUGUUAUUUUGACAAAAAUCAUAUUUCAUGUCCAAAUGAAAAUAACUAGGUGACAAUAAUGCCUAAUAAGAUAAGACUGUCCCUCACACAACUACAAAUGCAUGAAAAAUAAUCAGGUCAUAAUAAUGUCGAUUAAGAUAUAACUAUUUCUCAUACACUCAUACAACCACAAAUGCAUUGUAAAUUUAGAAGAGGUAGCAGUGUCCUUUUAACCAUGUCGUUUUAAUAUCUCAUGUAAAUGCAAGGAAGAGAGAAAGAGAGAGAGAGAGAGAGAGAGAGAGAGAGAGAGAGAGAGAGAGAGUGAGAGAGAGAAUUUGUCCACAAGUUACAUGAUUCUAUAGAACCCUGAUUAUUGCAAAUUUUGGUACCAUCAUAGUGGGGUAUUGCUGUGACAUCCUUGACCAUGUUUUUGAAAGAACUGUAGAAGGACUUUGAAACUUUGAGUUAGAAGAUCCAUUGUAUAUUAAGAGAUCUGUGGGAAGAUUUUGGAGCUUGGAAUGUUGAACAGUACAGAAGAGGGAGGCCUGGUGUGUUAAAUUUCAAAUGGAAGAUUAAAGAUUCUCAAGUUAAUAAAAAAAAAAAGAUUCUAUUAGGGCCAUCUUCUAUUUUGCUUUAAGAUACUGUGGUUGUCGUUAGCUGGAACUGAAAAAUCAGCAGUCAUGAACAAGACACCACAACUACUAAAGUAAGCCUUUGUGUUUCAGCAUCCACUGAUAUGGGUUAUCUGGAGAUGUGAAUAGGGGUGAUUAAGAAGAGACUAGCAUCACUGAGGUGAACCUACUGGGAAGUGUUUCCUGAGUGCACAGAGAAGCUGUGUUCCAGAUAUGGCCAACGUUGUACCUUUUACUAGCAGCUGUAGUUGGUAAUGUAAAAGAGUCACACAAAUGGUACUAGUUUGAAGGCAUGAAAGGGUCAUGGAGAGUAACUAAAGGUUGCCACUGUAAGCGAUCAGGAGAGACCACUGAGGAAGCUGCAGUCACAGUGGCAGUUUAAGGCCCAGGACUGAAGAGAUCAUGAAAUGAAUUUGAGGCUUAGUACCAGCAGAAGACCUCAGCAUUUUGAAGGUACCAUGUAACUACCACCAGUGAUAGCAGAAUCAAUAAAUUGGAGCUAUCUGGAGCCUUGAAGACAAGCUGUGUGUGCCACAGGGAAGAGGUGACAUAAGCCAUUUGGAGGAGCCCAAGAUCAUAUCUGGAUCCUAGACACUAGACAUUGAGUAAUUUAUACUCUUGGGUGUAGUUGUUUUAUGGUUCAUAUUAUGUCCAUGCGCUGCUUCUUCCCUCUUGAAACAUGUAUUUUAUUUAAUUUUGAUUUUUAUUGCCAUGCACAACUGAAAGUCUUUAAAUAUUUUGAAGAGAUUUUUGAUUUUUCAGCAAGAUGGAUAUUUUAAAGUGAUUGAAAUUUUAAUGCUUUUGAAUUUGUAAAAACUGUGGGACCUUUUAAGUUACUUAUGUUUUAAUGUAAGAUUCAGGGGAUGAAUAAGAAUAGAAAGUUUGUGGCUUAAAAGUGAGUUAUGUGUUUUUGUGUCAGCUUAACAAGGGACAGUGGUACUGGUGAGUUUUGUGUAGCAACUUGACCAGGUCAUUGGACAAGAAGGAUCUUCAGGUGAGAAAAAGCCUCCCUGAGAAAGACAUGGAGGCAUAUAGUUACUGAUCAAUGAGGGACUGCCCAGACUAUUGUAGGUGGGGACAUCCCAGGGUUGGUGGUCCUGAAUUCUAUAAGAAAGUGGGUUAAGCAAGGUAUAGAAGGCAUAGAAGUAAGUAGCACCCCCCAUGGCAUCUGUAUCAGCUCCUCUUGCCAGGUCUGAAUUCUUGUCCUCAAUUCAUUAAGGGAUGAACAGCAAUGUGAAAGUAUAAGCCAAAUAAAUCCUUUCCUCCCGUGUUUGUUUUUUUCUCAUGAUAUUUUAUCAGAGCAAAAAAGAAAAAAACAAAACAAAACCCUAAACAAAUAAACAACAACAACAACAACAACAACAACAACACCCUUGACUAAGAUAUCUGCCUAUAUAAUAUCUGGAUCUUCUCUCCAAUCAGCCAUUCAGGAUCCCCAUAACACUUUCUCUCUUAGCUUUCUUUGGUAGGCCCUAUUGGACAGCAACCAGGAUUGAGGCAUAGUUGUAUAAUCCUUGCUAAAGCAGUCACCUGAUUUGUCUGCAAAUCCGCUGUCAAGGGGUCUGGAGAGAAAACUUCAGGAAGACUGUUCCCAUUUUCAAGAGCCACACAAAGCUGAGGUACAGCCCUGGUCAAGUACUUCAAAACAUUUUCUUGCCUCUCACUCACGGAGGAAAUAUGUUGUCUUACCUGAGUAUAGUGUCCGACUUUAACACCAACUUUUUUUGGGCCGAAACCAAAGACAAAAUCAAGGGAUUCAUCAUACCAAUCUUGGAUUACAGAAGACCACGAUGCAGGGUAAUUUGCCAUGAACAAAUUCUCACCACAUUUUAAUGCUGUAGGAAAAAAUAGAACAUUCAUUAAGUCAGCAGGAAAACACACACACACACUCACACACACACACACACACACACAGAGAGAGAGAGAGAGAGAGAGAGAGAGAGAGAGAGAGAGAGAGAGAGAGAGAGAGAGAGAGGGGAAGAG